AUCUGUUCUUGGAAAAUAAAGUGGAAAGUAGUAUCUGUUCUUAUCAGCUUAAUACCUGAUACGUGGCUCAUUGAGUCACUGCGAUAUUAAACUGAUUUUUGGAACUAGGAGAGAUGUCCGGGGCUUGCUCCGCUCUCGCCACGGGUCGACCCGGUAUUGCAGUCCUUCCGGGAAUGCCCCAACUCAA
rnacentral:snRNA from 1 species